rnacentral:misc_RNA from 1 species
UCUCUCUCUAUAUAUAUAAAUAUAUACGUAAAGUUUUGAAAUCAAACAAAGGAUUACAGUUCUAGUUUAAAACAAAAUCAAUGUGCUUACAUCUUCAAUUUACUACAUCAAUCACAACGAUUCCCUUCUAAGUUGGUUUCAUUUAUUGUGGUUACUCUCCUUCCUUGGUGAGAGAGAACAGGUCGCCUCUGCAGAGGAAUUCAUUCUAUUGGAUUCUGCAUAGCAGAUUCAGGAGAUUUCUUGCCCAUGUUGUAUGGUGCUGCACUCAUCACCCUACAUGCACAAACAAAGGUCUCAAAUCAAUUACGAGUCUUGGUAGUCUUGAUUGAAGUCAUUGUCAUAGUAAAAAUGAGGCUCUGGAAAAUGUUAACAUUAUAAGUGGCAGUAGAACGUUUUUCUAGUAAUAUACUUAUACAUCAUUUAAAAGUAUAGUUACAGGAUGUUCUCAUGCAAAACCUAGGUUCUCCCUGCCAAAACAUCUUACUUCCACCACUACUAAAGUAUUAUAGUUAGAAAAAUAAUUGCAAAUAGGUCCUCUCCUAAACAGACUUAGGUCAUGAUCAAGAAACAAGCUACAUCCACAUAAAGGAAUAUUUAUUGCAUCAUAUUCUCUAUUAAUAUCACCUGAAUGUGGCUGGCACAUGUGCCCCAGAAUGGCAGAACCUCAAGCAAAAAAAACCAACUUUGAAAAUUACCAAUGCAGAAGUGUUUCCAACUAAAAGCCCCAAACAUCUUCAAAAUAAUAUUCAGUCAUUCACUGAAUAAAAGUCAAGAUAUGGCAAGCAAAAUUAUUUAACCCCGACUAGUUUGGGAUUAAGGUUUAGCUAGGUUGAGUUAUAUACUGCUGACAAAGUGACAGGAUAAAGAGUGCAUACAUUUCCACAGAUCAUCACCUUGUUUACCAUCCAUAAUGGGUCAACAAUUUUUCAUUAGAUGUGAGGGAUCAGUCAAUUCAUAAUCAAAUUGUGAAAAAAUAUUUCUUCUUUUGCUUGAAUUUAUACAACUUACCUCUCCUUGCGCUUCUCCAAAAACCGAGCCAAGGAUGCCUUACGAGCUUGGGGCACUGCUGCACAAGAAUUUAGAGAUAUCAUUUUUACAUGGCAAAUACAAUAAUAAAAAAUCUACAUCUGAAUAAAAUGUGUUUGAUGCUCAAUGGAUGAGCUUCAAAACUGGAAAGUUUUCAAAGAGUACAUAUGAUGCAAAACUGUCUUCCAGAGUACAAGUUCAUACCAGAUGGCAUCAUGGUUGUUGCAGCAACAGAUCCCAUUGCACUUGUAAGUUUUGGAGUGUCCAGUUUACUAACAGGAGUUGUUGCAACUCCAGCGGUUUUAGUUGCCAUGAUUUCUUCAGUGCUAGCAGACCCACUCCCUGACUGAGAACCAGUUUGUGAAGAAACAGAUAAAGGACUCGAAAGACGGGAGCCAGGUGGUGUAGUUACAUUGUGGUUCACAGGACUAACAUCAGUAGCUAUUGGCUUUGAGCUUGGUUCCUGGAUGUGAUUGUUUGGCUGUGUCAUGUUUGGCUGUGUCAUGUUAGAGGAGAUAGAAGAAUCCUUUCCAGCCAAGAACAUGAUAGCCUGGGCCUUCUCAGGAGAUAUAUCAUUAUACACAUUCACUGUGCCAGCGUAAAAGAUGGUCAGUUGAGCAGGAGAACCAGAUGUUUUCGCACAUGAUUCCAUCAUCCCAGUAACAGAGCCAAAAGUAGGAAGAAUUGUUUGUGGAGUGGUAACAGGAAUUCCUCCAAGUAAUUGUGGCUUUGCAGUAGCUCCAGCAGUACUCUGACCAGAGGUGGCAUAAUAAUUCUUGAAGAAAGGGUUGCUCAAGGAAAUUGAACUUGCAUGGUUGGAGACUGGAAACAUCUUCAUGUCACGAGGAUGAUGCACAGAAUGCACAUCAUGUUGCACAGGGUAAGCAGUCAAUGUAAAAUGAGUCCCACUUUGCCUAUCGUGAUUGAAUGAUUUCUAUAUGGUAAAAACCAGAAUGAGAAAUAAAAUAUUUGUUGAUAUUAAUAAAAAGUGGGAUUUAAUCUUUUACCAAACAACUAAGACAAGGUCAGUCAUGGAAAUAAUCAUCCAGUUAAUCUUGAAUGGUCAAUGAAAAGAAUACAAUAAAAUUCAUCCCUGCCGAAUUUUUCAACUUGGGGUAACACGAAACAGAAUGGAAAAUUAACAACUAAAUUUCUAAGCAAUACCUCAAAACCUGUUAAACAAGAAGAAAGCCAAAUAGGGAAUAAUAUAACACCUGGAUUUCAGCCAUAAACUGUUUUUGGUUAGGAUCAAAUGAAUCUGCAGUUGAAAUGGACAAGAAUCCAGAGGACACUGAGGAAUCAGUUAAAAACCUUUUGGUCUUAUCUUCUUGAGAAACCAUGAAAGAGUUCAAAUGAGGAAGAGCAGAGACCUUGUUGGAGAAGGGCCAGUGUAUCCCUGAACCCUUGCUAAAUCCUAUCUCUUUGUACCCAUCAGAAUUAACCUCUUCCUUAACCACAGGCAAUGACUCCUUUGAGUUCAGACCCAUAAAAUCUCUCUCCAUUUUACCUCUCCUGCCUCUCAAAAAACGAAUAGAAACACAAAAUUCAACUAAAACCCACCUCAAAAAACUAGUUCAAAAAUCAUAAAUUCACGGAUCAAUCUCUCCACUCCUCUACCAAACCUCAGUUUACAGAGAGGAAACUAGAGAGAGAAAAACCAAAACAAAAGCUUCCAACUACAGCAAA